rnacentral:rRNA from 1 species
CCUACGGGAGGCAGCAGUGGGGAAUAUUGGGCAAUGGGCGCAAGCCUGACCCAGCAACGCCGCGUGAAGGAAGAAGGCUCUCGGGUUGUAAACUUCUUUUUAGAGGGAAGAGCAGAAGACGGUACCUCUUGAAUAAGCCACGGCUAACUACGUGCCAGCAGCCGCGGUAAUACGUAGGUGGCAAGCGUUGUCCGGAUUUACUGGGGGUAAAGGGCGUUCAGCCGGGAAGACAAGGCAGAUGUGAAAUCCCGCGGCUCAACCGCGGAACUGCAUUUGAAACUGUUUUUCUUGAGUACCGGAGAGGUCAUCGGAAUGCCUUGUGUAGCGGUGAAAUGCGUAGAUAUUAGGAGGAACACCGGUGGCGAAGGCAGCUUACUGGACUGUAACUGACGUUGAGGCUCGAAAGCGUGGGGAGCGAACAGGAUUAGAUACCCCAGUAGUC